AGCGAACGCUGGCGGCAGGCUUAACACAUGCAAGUCGAGCGGGCGUAGCAAUACGUCAGCGGCAGACGGGUGAGUAACGCGUGGGAACGUACCUUUUGGUUCGGAACAACACAGGGAAACUUGUGCUAAUACCGGAUAAGCCCCUUACGGGGGAAAGAUUUAUCGCCGAAAGAUCGGCCCGCGUCUGAUUAGCUAGUUGGUAGGGUAAUGGCCUACCAAGGCGACGAUCAGUAGCUGGUCUGAGAGGAUGAUCAGCCACAUUGGGACUGAGACACGGCCCAAACUCCUACGGGAGGCAGCAGUGGGGAAUAUUGGACAAUGGGGGCAACCCUGAUCCAGCCAUGCCGCGUGAGUGAUGAAGGCCCUAGGGUUGUAAAGCUCUUUUGUGCGGAAGAUAAUGACGGUACCGCAAGAAUAAGCCCCGGCUAACUUCGUGCCAGCAGCCGCGGU
rnacentral:rRNA from 1 species